UACGAAGUGGGCUAGCGUUGCUCGGAAUCACUGGGCGUAAAGCGCACGUAGGCGGCUUGUUAAGUCAGGGGUGAAAUCCUGGAGCUCAACUCCAGAACUGCCUUUGAUACUGGCGAGCUUGAGUCCGGGAGAGGUGAGUGGAACUGCGAGUGUAGAGGUGAAAUUCGUAGAUAUUCGCAAGAACACCAGUGGCGAAGGCGGCUCACUGGCCCGGUACUGACGCUGAGGUGCGAAAGCGUGGGGAGCAAACAGG
rnacentral:rRNA from 1 species